GAUGAACGCUGGCGGCGUGCCUAAUACAUGCAAGUCGAGCGAACAGACGAGGAGCUUGCUCCUCUGACGUUAGCGGCGGACGGGUGAGUAACGCGUGGAUAACCUACCUAUAAGACUGGGAUAACUUCGGGAAACCGGAGCUAAUACCGGAUAAUAUAUUGAACCGCAUGGUUCAAUAGUGAAAGACGGUUUUGCUGUCACUUAUAGAUGGAUCCGCGCCGCAUUAGCUAGUUGGUAAGGUAACGGUUUACCAAGGCAACGAUGCGUAGCCGACCUGAGAGGGUGAUCGGCCACACUGGAACUGAGACACGGUCCAGACUCCUACGGGAGGCAGCAGUAGGGAAUCUUCCGCAAUGGGCGAAAGCCUGACGGAGCAACGCCGCGUGAGUGAUGAAGGUCUUCGGAUCGUAAAACUCUGUUAUUAGGGAAGAACAAAUGUGUAAGUAACUAUGCACGUCUUGACGGUACCUAAUCAGAAAGCCACGGCUAACUACGUG
rnacentral:rRNA from 1 species